rnacentral:tRNA from 1 species
CGCAGCCGAGUUGCUCGGCGGCCGCGGCGGCGGUCUUGGCGUCGGCGUCGAGGAUCUUGAUGGCCGGUUCGAUUCCGGCGGCGGCCAC